rfam:Helicobacter muridarum strain ST1 CONTIG_32, whole genome shotgun sequence.
GCAGCUAGUCCAUGUGUGUCGAUGUUUUCGUUCUAUAUGGUGAAGAAUGCUAAGCGUUCAAGAAUUUGUCGCCUAAUUGGAUUCUAAGACCCUUUUUUUGUAGCUUUUGUUGGGCUCACACAAUAAAUAGAGUAACGUUCUUUUGGGU